UGCGAGCGAGGAGGACGACGAGGAGGCCUCGGGGGUAUGAUCACGCAGGGGAGGGUCGCGCAAAGGUGCGCGGCCUCGCCAGCGGUGGCCACGACGACCGCGGUGAGACAC
rnacentral:ribozyme from 1 species